rnacentral:tRNA from 1 species
GGUUGGGGCUCAGUGGUAGAGUGUUUGCCUAGCACGUGCAAGGCUCUGGGUUCGAUCCGCAGCACCA